UCCUCGAUAGUAUAAUCGUUUAGUAUCCCCGCCUGUCACGCGGGAGACCGGGGUUCGAUUCCACGCCGGGGAG
rnacentral:tRNA from 1 species